rnacentral:rRNA from 1 species
GAAAGUUCUUCGGAAUGAGUAGAGCGGCGGACGGGUGAGUAAUGCAUAGGAAUCUGCCCAGUAGUGGGGGAUAGCCCGGGGAAACCCGGAUUAAUACCGCAUACGUCCUACGGGAGAAAGCAGGGGAUCUUCGGACCUUGCGCUAUUGGAUGAGCCUAUGUCGGAUUAGCUUGUUGGUGGGGUAAUGGCCCACCAAGGCGACGAUCCGUAGCUGGUCUGAGAGGAUGAUCAGCCACACUGGAACUGAGACACGGUCCAGACUCCUACGGGAGGCAGCAGUGGGGAAUAUUGCACAAUGGGGGAAACCCUGAUGCAGCCAUGCCGCGUGUGUGAAGAAGGCCUUCGGGUUGUAAAGCACUUUCAGUAGGGAGGAAGGCCCUAAAGUUAAUACCUUUAGGGAUUGACGUUACCUACAGAAGAAGCACCGGCUAACUCCGUGCCAGCAGCCGCGGUAAUACGGAGGGUGCGAGCGUUAAUCGGAAUUACUGGGCGUAAAGCGCGCGUAGGCGGUUAGUUAAGCUGGAUGUGAAAGCCCCGGGCUCAACCUGGGAACUGCAUUCAGAACUGGCUGGCUAGAGUACGAGAGAGGGUAGUGGAAUUUCCUGUGUAGCGGUGAAAUGCGUAGAUAUAGGAAGGAACA